rnacentral:rRNA from 1 species
UGCGGCGUGCUUAACACAUGCAAGUCGAACGGUGACGGAGGAGCUUGCUCCCCCUGAUCAGUGGCGAACGGGUGAGUAACACGUGAGUAACCUGCCCCAGACUCUGGGAUAACAUCGGGAAACCGGUGCUAAUACCGGAUAUGAGACGAGACUGCAUGGUCAUCGUCUGGAAAGAUUUAUCGGUCUGGGAUGGACUCGCGGCCUAUCAGCUAGUUGGUGAGGUAAUGGCUCACCAAGGCGACGACGGGUAGCCGGCCUGAGAGGGCGACCGGCCACACUGGAACUGAGACACGGUCCAGACUCCUACGGGAGGCAGCAGUGGGGAAUAUUGCACAAUGGGCGCAAGCCUGAUGCAGCAACGCCGCGUGGGGGAUGAAGGCCUUCGGGUUGUAAACCCCUUUUAGCAGGGAAGAAGCGAAAGUGACGGUACCUGCAGAAAAAGCGCCGGCUAACUACGUGCCAGCAGCCGCGGUAAUACGUAGGGCGCAAGCGUUGUCCGGAAUUAUUGGGCGUAAAGAGCUCGUAGGCGGUUUGUCGCGUCUGCUGUGAAAGUCCGAGGCUCAACCUCGGAUCUGCAGUGGGUACGGGCAGACUAGAGUGUGGUAGGGGAGACUGGAAUUCCUGGUGUAGCGGUGGAAUGCGCAGAUAUCAGGAGGAACACCAAUGGCGAAGGCAGGUCUCUGGGCCAUAACUGACGCUGAGGAGCGAAAGCGUGGGGAGCGAACAGGAUUAGAUACCCUGGUAGUCCACGCCGUAAACGGUGGGCACUAGAUGUGGGGCUCUUUCCAUGAGUUCCGCGUCGCAGCUAACGCAUUAAGUGCCCCGCCUGGGGAGUACGGCCGCAAGGCUAAAACUCAAAGGAAUUGACGGGGGCCCGCACAAGCGGCGGAGCAUGCGGAUUAUUU